rnacentral:lncRNA from 10 species
CAAGUUUCCAAGAUUUUUUAAUCCAUAGAGCAGAGACAUGUUUAAAAGGAGAGACAAUAUGGUUUGAAGGACUAAGCACCAAACUGACCGAGGGAAAUGCCUUUAUCCUACUGAUUUGCCACAUGUUCCCAACAAGUCAUUUGGCCAUUUAGGCUUCUGUUUCCUUGGUGAGGUUGCUAUGGUAAGGCCUGAAGAAUCACCUGUAAAACUCGCUGCAAAUAUUGACUUCUGAUGAUCUUGUUCAACCUUGGGAGAGAUGUUCAAGAAAAAGAACAACUUCAGUGGAAGAAGAAGAAGAUAGGAGCCCAGGUCCUGUGUUUCACCAAGACAGCCGUGCAAAGCAGAUGCUGCCAAAAAGGUGCAAAGUGGUUUGUCAGCUCUUCUGCAUGUUCUAACAAAUUAGACAUGCAUCCCAAAAGGUUUCCUAGACUUUCCAUCACCACCAGUGAAUUCUGAGUGACAAUAGUGUGGAAUUUGGAAGAAUGGAAGAGAAACUGAAGUGGAGAGAUGGUGAAAGAGAAGAAAAAAUGAAGAAAGAUGCUUGCAAAAAUACUGCUGUGGGUCCUGAGAUGAGGAUUCUGGGAGGGCUGAAAUGGAUGCCCCUGACAGCUCCCUUUGAGUUCCUGUUCAUCUGAAGUACACCAGCUUUCUAGAUAUGCUGUCACUUUCCUUCUGCAGAGCCACAGUGGUGUCCUGUCUUCUCAGACCUCUUCUCACCUCAAAUCACUUAGGACUCGGCCACCAGACAGAUUUGGGAUUUCAGAACUUUUCAGAUGUUAGAAAGUUCUUUUCUAAAUGUGAUGAGGAAUUACGGAAUCAUAAAAUGGAAGCAGAGUUAAACUCAGACAUGUGGGCACUCAAGGCAAUUAGGAGCUUUCUGCGAUGAGAAAGGGAUCAGACUGAUCCUUAAGACUUUAUGCAACCCCAGAGUAUUGCAGCCACCUGCAUGCCGAAGGUGUCAAGAGUGUUCUCACUGCUGCCUAUAGGAGGGUCUUCAGCCUCCAGUGAUCCAAAGUACCAGGCUGACCUGUGACUGCUUCGGCCAACUGAAUAGGGAAGAGUGAUGCUGUGCUGUUUCCAGGCCUGUUCUUUAAAAGUACUUGGAAGCUUCUGCCUUGGCCUCUUUGUGCCUGAGUUGCUGUAUAAGAAUCUGACUACCUUGCUGGAGAGACCUUGUGGAGAAGACUUGACCUUAUAUGCAGAGGAGUAUGAUGGCCAAUGGAUCCAAAACCUAUCCUAUAUCUACAUGUUGGUGGCCACAUUAAUCUGACAUCUGACAGCAAGAGCGAUGAUUGGGUUCACUGGAAAUCUUUGUGAAGUACGAGUGAAGUCCUUGUGAAGUCAGAGUUUCCUCUUCAUGCCUCUACUCCUAUGCAGUUUGACCUCUCAGUGUGCAGCUGGUGAUAGAUGGAAACCCUUGUUCAUAAGCUUUGUGGCACUGUCGGCAGGAUGAGGGGACUUCUGGAUCCUCACUGGUCACUGUGGCAGAGUGGUUGGUGUUGUCUGCUCCCUAGACAGGAACCCACUGAAGAAUCUGACAUUUUUUGAUAUGCUGGCAUUCAUUGUUACAGCCCAUCAUCCCAGCCAUCAAUCCAGGACAUGGGGUCUGUGCCCACGGUGGGAAGGAGGAGGGGGAAGCUGGCUUUGUUCUGACGUUGGGCUUCUUCUGCUCCACCAGUACUUUCUGUGGGGGAAAUAGGUAAAGAAAUGGCUGUUCAGAUGAGAAGAUGUGUCAGUAAACUUUUGCUACAGUGAUGCUGCAAAACAAAUCACUGGUGACUUUCAGUGGCACACAGCAAUAAACAUUUAUUUAGCUCAGGGAUUGACAAUCUUUUUUUUUUUUUAAAGGGCCAAAUAGUAAAUAUUUUAGGUGUUUCAGGCCAUACAGUCUCUGAACUCUGAACUUGUAGCACAACAGUAGCCUUAGAUGCUAUGCAAAUGGAGGAGCAUGACUGUGUUCCAAUAAAACUUUAUUUAUGGAC